AGGGCUGUAGCUCAGUGGUAGAGUAUCUGCUCUUCAUGUUGAAGGUUCCAAGUUCAAUCCCCCGCUGCUCCA